rnacentral:rRNA from 1 species
ACGCUAGCUACAGGCUUAACACAUGCAAGUCGAGGGGCAGCGGGUUGAAAGCUUGCUUUCAAUGCCGGCGACCGGCGCACGGGUGCGUAACGCGUAUCAAACCUGCCUUAUACUCGGGGAUAGCCUUGCGAAAGUAAGAUUAAUACCCGAUGUUGUUGCUUUCUCGCAUGGGAGAGUAACCAAAGAUUUAUCGGUAUGAGAUGGUGAUGCGUCCGAUUAGGUAGUAGGCGGGGUAACGGCCCACCUAGCCUUCGAUCGGUAGGGGUUCUGAGAGGAAGGUCCUCCACACUGGAACUGAGACACGGUCCAGACUCCUACGGGAGGCAGCAGUGAGGAACAUUGGUCAAUGGGCGAGAGCCUGAACCAGCCAAGUAGCGUGCAGGAUGACGGCCCUCCGGGUUGUAAACUGCUUUUAGUUGGGAAUAAAAAAAGGGACUUGUCCCUUCUUGUAUGUACCUUCAGAAAAAGGACCGGCUAAUUCCGUGCCAGCAGCCGCGGUAAUACGGAAGGUCCAGGCGUUAUCCGGAUUUAUUGGGUUUAAAGGGAGCGUAGGCGGAUUGUUAAGUCAGCGGUUAAAGGGUGUGGCUCAACCAUGCAUUGCCGUUGAAACUGGCGAUCUUGAGUGCAGACAGGGAUGCCGGAAUUCGUGGUGUAGCGGUGAAAUGCUUAGAUAUCACGAAGAACUCCGAUCGCGAAGGCAGGUGUCCGGGCUGCAACUGACGCUGAGGCUCGAAAGUGUGGGUAUCAAACAGGAUUAGAUACCCUGGUAGUCCACACAGUAAACGAUGUAUACUCGCGGUUUGCGAUAGACAGUAAGCCGCCAAGCGAAAGCAUUAAGUAUACCACCUGGGGAGUACGCCGGCAACGGUGAAACUCAAAGGAAUUGACGGGGGCCCGCACAAGCGGAGGA